rnacentral:rRNA from 1 species
AUUCCAGCUCCAAUAGCGUAUAUUAAAGUUGUUGCAGUUAAAAAGCUCGUAGUUGGACCUGUGCAUGUCCCUAGGUGUCCAUAUUGUUUGGUACGUUCUAGGGCGUGCAUCCUUGGGUGGAACCUGUGUGGCAUUAGGUUGUCGUGCAGGGGAUGCUCAUCGUUUACUGUGAAAAAAUUAGAGUGUUCAAAGCAGGCUUAUGCCGUUGAAUAUAUUAGCAUGGAAUAAUAAGAUAGGACCUUGGUACUAUUUUGUUGGUUUGCGCACCGAGGUAAUGAUUAACAGGGACAGUUGGGGGUAUUCGUAUUCCAUUGUCAGAGGUGAAAUUCUUGGAUUUCUGGAAGACGAACUACUGCGAAAGCAUUUACCAAGGAUGUUUUC